UGCGAAUAAUUUAUUUUGUUAAUGGAACUUAUUGAAUAAAUGGAAUUCCAAUCGGAAUCUACGUUGAAUUCAAAGAAACCACGAAACUAUUCCUAGCCUUCGGUGAGCAGCAUAAGAAUAUUAUUCAGCUGGGUUUGUCCUUUACAUGCUGACCAAAUAUGGCGUUUACAAAUAAAAAAUUGUCAAAAAAUUAUUAUAUGUAAAAUAAUAUUACACUCAUUAAGUGAA